rnacentral:rRNA from 1 species
CCUACGGGAGGCAGCAGUGGGGAAUUUUGGACAAUGGGCGCAAGCCUGAUCCAGCAAUGCCGCGUGCAGGAUGAAGGCCUUCGGGUUGUAAACUGCUUUUGUACGGAACGAAACGGCUCCUUUUAAUACCCGGGGCUAAUGACGGUACCGUAAGAAUAAGCACCGGCUA